rnacentral:rRNA from 1 species
AGUGAACGCUGGCGGUAGGCCUAACACAUGCAAGUCGAACGGCAGCACAGUAAGAGCUUGCUCUUACGGGUGGCGAGUGGCGGACGGGUGAGGAAUACAUCGGAAUCUACUUUUUCGUGGGGGAUAACGUAGGGAAACUUACGCUAAUACCGCAUACGACCUACGGGUGAAAGCAGGGGAUCUUCGGACCUUGCGCGAUUGAAUUAGCCGAUGCCGGAUUAGCUAGUUGGCUGGGUAAAGGCCCACCAAGGCGACGAUCCGUAGCUGGUCUGAGAGGAUGAUCAGCCACACUGGAACUGAGACACGGUCCAGACUCCUACGGGAGGCAGCAGUGGGGAAUAUUGGACAAUGGGCGCAAGCCUGAUCCAGCCAUACCGCGUGGGUGAAGAAGGCCUUCGGGUUGUAAAGCCCUUUUGUUGGGAAAGAAAAGCAGCAGGUUAAUACCCCGCUGUUCUGACGGUACCCAAAGAAUAAGCACCGGCUAACUUCGUG